AUACGGGGGGAGCAAGCGUUGUCCGGAAUUACUGGGCGUAAAGGGCGUGUAGGCGGCUUGAUAAGACAGAUGUGAAAGCCUUCCGCUUAACGGAAGAACUGCAUUUGAAACUGUCGGGCUUGAGUGCGCGAGAGGGUAGUGGAAUUCCCAGUGUAGCGGUGAAAUGCGUAGAUAUUGGGAAGAACACCAGUAGCGAAGGCGGCUACCUGGCUCGUAACUGACGCUAAGGCGCGAAAGCGUGGGGAGCAAACAGGAUUAGAAACCCCGGUAGUCC
rnacentral:rRNA from 1 species